rnacentral:rRNA from 1 species
ACAGUGGACGCGAGCAUCUUUGUUUGUAAGUGUGUAAGAGCGUACGGUGGAUGCCUUGGCACCAGGAGCCGAUGAAGGACGUAGGAGGCUGCGAUAAGCCUCGGGGAGCUGUCAACCGAGCUGAGAUCCGAGGAUUUCCGAAUGGGGAAACCCAGCACGAGUGAUGUCGUGUUACCCGCCGUUGAAUAUAUAGACGGUGUGGAGGGAACGUGGGGAAGUGAAACAUCUCAGUACCCACAGGAAGAGAAAACAAUAGUGAUUCCGUGAGUAGUGGCGAGCGAAAGCGGAAGAGGCUAAACCAGGAGCGUGUGAUAGCCGGCGGGCGUUGCGUUCUUGGGGUUGUGGGACCUGCUUUCUCAGAUCUGCCGGUCUGGGCGACAGUCAGAAAAGAUCGCGUUAGCUGAAUUGGUCUGGGAUGGCCAACCGUAGACGGUGAGAGUCCGGUAGGCGAAAACGUGUUCUCUGUUGUAGUGGGCACCCGAGUAGCAGCGGGCCCGUGAAAUCUGCUGUGAAUCUGCCGGGACCACCCGGUAAGCCUGAAUACUCCCUGGUGACCGAUAGCGGACUAGUACCGUGAGGGAAAGGUGAAAAGUACCCCGGGAGGGGAGUGAAAUAGUACCUGAAACCGUGCGCUUACAAUCCGUCAGAGCCUUCCAUUUUGUGGUGGGGUGAUGGCGUGCCUUUUGAAGAAUGAGCCUGCGAGUCAUCGGUGUGUGGCGAGGUUAACCCGUGUGGGGUAGCCGUAGCGAAAGCGAGUCCGAAUAGGGCGUUUGAGUCGCAUGUCAUGGACCCGAAGCGGAGUGAUCUACCCAUGGCCAGGGUGAAGCGACGGUAAGACGUCGUGGAGGCCCGAACCCACUUAGGUUGAAAACUGAGGGGAUGAGCUGUGGGUAGGGGUGAAAGGCCAAUCAAACUCCGUGAUAGCUGGUUCUCCCCGAAAUGCAUUUAGGUGCAGCGUCGCGUGUUUCACACUGGAGGUAGAGCUACUGGAUGGCCUAGGGGGCCCACAAGCUUACCGAAGUCAGCCAAACUCCGAAUGCCGGUGUGUGAGAGCGCGGCAGUGAGACUGCGGGGGAUAAGCUUCGUAGUCGAGAGGGAAACAGCCCAGAUCGCCGGCUAAGGCCCCUAAGCGUGUACUAAGUGGAAAAGGAUGUGGGGUCGCUGAGACAACCAGGAGGUUGGCUUAGAAGCAGCCACCCUUGAAAGAGUGCGUAAUAGCUCACUGGUCAAGUGAUCCUGCGCCGAUAAUGUAGCGGGGCUCAAGUACACCGCCGAAGCCGCGGCAUUCCAGUAUUGAUCUUGCUUUCGAGCCAGGAGCUGGGAUGGGUAGGGGAGCGUCGUGUAGCCAGGGAAGCAGCGGGGUGACCUAGUUGUGGAGGCUGCGCGAGUGAGAAUGCAGGCAUGAGUAGCGAAAGACGAGUGAGAAACUCGUCCGCCGAAUGACCAAGGGUUCCUGGGCCAGGUUAAUCCGCCCAGGGUGAGUCGGGACCUAAGGCGAGGCCGACAGGCGUAGUCGAUGGACAACGGGUUGAUAUUCCCGUACCCGUGUAUCCGCGCCCAAUGGCGAGCCGGUUUUGCUAAUCGUCCUGAACCCAAUGGACCACCUUCGGGUGGCUGGAGGGGGAUGCACGAGACCCAGACCGUAGUAGUCAAGCGAUGGGGUGACGCAGGAAGGUAGCUGGGCCCGGUGGUGGAUUACCGGGUGUAAGCCUGUAGGGCGUUGUGUAGGCAAAUCCGCACAGCAUGUGCCUGAGAGGUGAUGCGUAGCCGGUUGAGGUGAAUUCAGUGAUCCUAUGCUGCCGAGAAAAGCCUCUAGUGAGUUGGUACACGGCCCGUACCCCAAACCGACACAGGUGGUCAGGUAGAGAAUACUAAGGCGAUCGAGAUAACUGUGGUGAAGGAACUCGGCAAAAUACCUCCGUAACUUCGGGAGAAGGAGGGCCCGAUCUGGUGAUGAGUCUUGCACUCGGAGCUGGGUUGGGUCGCAGAGACCAGAGAGAAGCGACUGUUUACUAAAAACACAGGUCCGUGCGAAGUCGUAAGACGAUGUAUACGGACUGACGCCUGCCCGGUGCCGGAAGGUUAAGAGGACCGGUUAGCGGAGCGAUUCGCGAAGCUGAGAAUUUAAGCCCCGGUAAACGGCGGUGGUAACUAUAACCAUCCUAAGGUAGCGAAAUUCCUUGUCGGGUAAGUUCCGACCUGCACGAAUGGCGUAACGACUUCUCUGCUGUCUCCACCACAGACUCGGCGAAAUUGCAUUACGAGUAAAGAUGCUCGUUACGCGCGGCAGGACGAAAAGACCCCGGGACCUUCACUAUAGCUUGGUAUUGGUGUUCGGUACGGUUUGUGUAGGAUAGGUGGGAGACUGUGAAGCGGGCACGCCAGUGUUUGUGGAGUCGUCGUUGAAAUACCACUCUGGUCGUAUUGGACUUCUAACCUCGGGCCAUGAUCUGGUUCAGGGACAGUGCCUGGUGGGUAGUUUAACUGGGGCGGUUGCCUCCCAAAGUGUAACGGAGGCGCCCAAAGGUUCCCUCAGCCUGGUUGGCAAUCAGGUGUUGAGUGUAAGUGCACAAGGGAGCUUGACUGUGAGACUGACAGGUCGAGCAGGGACGAAAGUCGGGACUAGUGAUCCGGCACCGGCAUGUGGAAGCGGUGUCGCUCAACGGAUAAAAGGUACCCCGGGGAUAACAGGCUGAUCUUCCCCAAGAGUCCAUAUCGACGGGAUGGUUUGGCACCUCGAUGUCGGCUCGUCGCAUCCUGGGGCUGGAGUAGGUCCCAAGGGUUGGGCUGUUCGCCCAUUAAAGCGGCACGCGAGCUGGGUUUAGAACGUCGUGAGACAGUUCGGUCUCUAUCCGCCGCGCGCGUUAGAAACUUGAGGAAGGCUGUCCCUAGUACGAGAGGACCGGGACGGACGAACCUCUGGUGUGCCAGUUGUCCCGCCAGGGGCACGGCUGGUUGGCUACGUUCGGAAGGGAUAACCGCUGAAAGCAUCUAAGCGGGAAGCCUGUUCCAAGAUGAGGUUUCUCACCCCUUCGAGGGGGUAAGGCCCCCAACAGACCAUUGGGUUGAUAGGCCAGAACUGGAAGUGCGGUAACGCAUGGAGGUGACUGGUACUAAUAGGCCGAGGACUUACCAACAA